rnacentral:rRNA from 1 species
AGCGAACGCUGGCGGCAGGCCUAACACAUGCAAGUCGAACGGAGUCUUCGGACUUAGUGGCGGACGGGUGAGUAACACGUGGGAACGUGCCUUUAGGUUCGGAAUAACUCAGGGAAACUUGUGCUAAUACCGAAUGUGCCCUUCGGGGGAAAGAUUUAUCGCCUUUAGAGCGGCCCGCGUCUGAUUAGCUAGUUGGUGAGGUAAAGGCUCACCAAGGCGACGAUCAGUAGCUGGUCUGAGAGGAUGAUCAGCCACAUUGGGACUGAGACACGGCCCAAACUCCUACGGGAGGCAGCAGUGGGGAAUCUUGCGCAAUGGGCGAAAGCCUGACGCAGCCAUGCCGCGUGAAUGAUGAAGGUCUUAGGAUUGUAAAAUUCUUUCUCCGGGGACGAUAAUGACGGUACCCGGAGAAGAAGCCCCGGCUAACUUCGUGCCAGCCGCCGCAGUAAUAC